rnacentral:siRNA from 1 species
AGAACCGAUUAAACCGAACCGAUC